rnacentral:lncRNA from 1 species
AUGAGAACUCUUGGGUGGAAUAAGUCACCAGUUAAAAUGAACUCGUUGCAAGCUUCACAUUAUCUCACUCUCCAGUCUUGCUUGAGUGAAUUCUUAUCUUCAGAUCAAGGUUGUUUUUCACUAGAAAUGAAUCAAAUUCAGGCACAGGACCAGCUAUCUGUCAGGAGGAGCAGGUUUAUCUCCAACAGCUUCUUCCUCACCCCUCCUAAUGCGUUCUAACAGCUAUGGAUUUUCUGAAACUCAAAAUUGUUAUAAUCAUGCCCAAAGUAGGAACCUAUAUCCGGAAAGAAACAAGAACAGAGA